rnacentral:rRNA from 1 species
UACGUAGGAGGCAAGCGUUGUCCGGAAUUACUGGGCGUAAAGCGCGUGUAGGUGGUGGGACAAGUCUGCUGUGAAAGCGCCUGGCUUAACCGGGCGAGGUCGGCGGAAACUGUCCGACUCGAGGACGGUAGAGGGGGUGGAAUUCCCGGUGUAGUGGUGAAAUGCGUAGAGAUCGGGAAGGAACACCUGUGGCGAAGGCGCCCCUGGGCCGGCCCUGACACUGAGACGCGAAGGCGUGGGGAGCAACAGG